rnacentral:rRNA from 1 species
AUUGAACGCUGGCGGCAGGCCUAACACAUGCAAGUCGAGCGGCAGCGGGACCUUCGGGUUGCCGGCGAGCGGCGGACGGGUGAGUAAUGCCUAGGAAUCUGCCUGUUAGUGGGGGAUAACGCGGGGAAACUCGCGCUAAUACCGCAUACGUCCUACGGGAGAAAGCGGGGGCUCUUCGGACCUUGCGCUAACAGAUGAGCCUAGGUCGGAUUAGCUAGUUGGUGGGGUAAUGGCCCACCAAGGCGACGAUCCGUAACUGGUCUGAGAGGAUGAUCAGUCACACUGGAACUGAGACACGGUCCAGACUCCUACGGGAGGCAGCAGUGGGGAAUAUUGGACAAUGGGCGAAAGCCUGAUCCAGCCAUGCCGCGUGUGUGAAGAAGGUCUUCGGAUUGUAAAGCACUUUAAGUCGGGAGGAAGGGCUGUAGGCUAAUACCUUGCAGUUUUGACGUUACCGACAGAAUAAGCACCGGCUAACUUCGUGCCAGCAGCCGCGGUAAAAC